AUUGUUUUCUUUCAAUUUCCAAAUAUGUUUCGAAAGACUCGAACAAAACGGACUUUCGAAACAUAUUUGGAAAUUAAAAGAAAACAAU